rnacentral:rRNA from 1 species
GGGCCUGCGUCCCAUUAGCUAGUUGGUGAGGUAAAGGCUCACCAAGGCGACGAUGGGUAGCCGGCCUGAGAGGGUGGACGGCCACAAGGGAACUGAGACACGGUCCUUACUCCUACGGGAGGCAGCAGUGGGGAAUAUUGGACAAUGGGCCACGAGCCUGAUCCAGCAAUUCUGUGUGGGUGAUGACGGUCUUAGGAUUGUAAAGCCCUUUCAGUGGGGAAGAAGAAAGUGACAGUACCCACAGAAGAAGCCACGGCUAACUACGUGCCAGCAGCCGCGGUAAU